UACAGAGGUCUCAAGCGUUGUUCGGAUUCAUUGGGCGUAAAGGGUGCGUAGGUGGCGAGGCAAGUCAGAUGUGAAAUCCCGGGGCUCAACCCCGGAACUGCAUUUGAAACUGCCUUGCUCGAGUACUGGAGAGGAGAUUGGAAUUCACGGUGUAGCAGUGAAAUGCGUAGAUAUCGUGAGGAAGACCAGUGGCGAAGGCGGAUCUCUGGACAGUUCCUGACGCUGAGGCGCGAAGGCCAGGGGAGCAAACGGG
rnacentral:rRNA from 1 species